rnacentral:lncRNA from 1 species
GAUGGGCACAUGGACCGAGGUCCUGGGAAGCCGCCUGCUCCCACUUGCAUCCUGCCUGUUACUCUCGUCACCCAGACGCUGUUCACCCAGGCUCUGCAGCAGGCGCUGGGCUGGAUGGUCUACCGUGUAAACGAGGGGAUUUCCCAUCCCACGGGCUGCUUGAGGAGCAGCAGCCUCACAGAAUGGCCAUGCACAGAGUGCAGGGCGGCAGGACGGGAAGGCCCUGCCUGGAGUCAGGCACACGAGUGCCACAGUAGUGGCAUGAUUUUGCCCACCUGAGACUCAAGGACUGGGACACCUGUCCCUCCUCCUCCACCCACGCUGCGGGGAACUGCAUGGCUCCUCCGGGCGGGGACCAUAGCUUUCCGCCUCAACGUACCUGGGGCUCGGCAUGCUGCGUUGAAUUUUGGAGUGGAUGAGGAGUGAGGGUGUGGCAGGGCGGCUGGAGCUGCCCAACUGCUGAAACUGCUGCAGGUGCCACAGCGGCUGGCUCCCUGAAAGCGUCCUCCUGCCUCUGAGACCGUAGCGCAGGAGGGUGCGAGUGCACCUCCGCAAGGCCUGACGCUGCUGAUCCACUUCCUCUCCCCACGAUGGGGACACACUUGGCGACAGUUCCAUCUGGGGAAGAGACCCAGCCGGAACCCAGGGAAGAGCAGGCUGUGAAAACUGGGCAGAAACUUGCGGCGACUCGGAAGACACUGCCAGGAAACCCUCCCCGGGCCUCCUGUGGGGCUUGUAGCAGCCGCAGGGGUUGGCUCUCACCUUCUAGUCCCAGCCAGGUUGUCUUGGAGUCAGCUAAUGGGCAAGGCCCCUACCUCUCUUAGGAUCUGAGGAUGGGAGGGGCUGCGUUUUUCCAGAGGAUCUGCACGUGUGCAGGCUGAGUGUUGAGACUUGAUUGGUGUCAACUGGCACUGCCUGCCCAUGAUGCACAAAAGCUACUGUAAGAAACAGGGUCCAUGUCUCCAGGGAGCAGGACCCCGUUCUGAGGCCACAACCCCGAGGGCAGUCUCCGCCUGCAGAGUCCUCCCUCUCGCACCGGCUCACCUCGUGGUGAAUCCCUUGGCUACGGUUUGGUGUGAGAAAAGAGAUGGGUGUUUCACUCCCUGCUGCAUCCCUGGUGACGGCCCUGGCAUUUCGGGGCAUGAGAUCUUUGCUUAAAGGUUUUGCGGUGGUCACUGCACAGGGGGUGGGGGUGGGGUCCCUUGGUGCAAUUUAUCCGAUUCUGCUGCGUGGAUGACAUCCACAGUGUUCCUCUCCAGUGGGGAUUAUCUGAGACCUUUCCGCAUGCCCGCACCCACAGUCCGCUCCCUCACGGCAGCAUGAACUCAGGAGGCGGGCGUUCCCACAGUCAUUACAUUUGCAGGGCCUCUCUAUGUCCACUCUGAUGCCUGAGGACCAGCGCUUCCACGAAGGUGUGGCCACGUCCAGUGCUGCUCAUUGGCUUCUCUCCUGCGGGAAUGUUCUGAUCCCGAACGGAGCCUGAGCAUGCGCGAAACCCUUCCCACGUUCACAAGGUGCUUCUCCAGUGUUCCAUUACAUCUCACCUAUGCACACUACAUGCAUACGGUUUCCACCGGCUGUGCGUGUCCCUAGAAGUCACAUUCACGGCGUUUCUCCCUGGGAGGAAUUCUCCCGUGCAUGGCUGCUCUGAGACCAUUUGCACCUGCGGCCACGCGUGGGCUCCUCGAGGCUUACAAACCAGGCUGGACUCCUGAAGCCCUAGCUGCACUUGGCACUCGGCGAGGUUUUUCUACAAAAUCUCAUCUCAGCCAUCUGAGUCCUUCACCAUUUAUCUUAUGAAUCCGCUCGAACGUACAAGGAAGGCCUCUCUGCCCUCCUGCUCCAGGGAGGAGGUUUUGACCCUCAGCUCCACCUCUGCGGCUGGCCCGGUCUCCGCAAACCUUUUUCUGCUUGGCCAGCUGGUGCCAUGCUAGGCUUUCCCACUAGGGGCGCCAGAGAAAGCGCGCGAGGCUGCGGAGGAGAGAGGGGCACACUCUUUCCGGUUUGCUUCCGGUUUUUUCCUCAGGCUUCCGGUCUGUUUGGUGCCCUGGUCGCGUGUCUUCCGAACUCUGCUGCUUCGCCCCGGCAAGAGCACUUCCUUCCGCGGCUGCUAAAACUGGUGCGCGGGUUCCCAACUUCGCAGAAGAGCUUCAUCGGCCCCCCGCUAGAGACCUCAGACCGCAGCCAUCGACGCCUCGCCUCGGGGAUCUGUCCCCACCCUCGGGGCCAGCUCCUUCGGUAGUCACUUCGUACAUAGUGAUUCAUGAUGCGAAAUCCUCUCUGUUGAAAUAACUGACGAGGCCUCUGUCUUCUGACUGGACCCUGACUUCCAUGCCCUUUCCACUCUCACUCCAGUACAUGCCCAAACCCCAAUCUUUGUUGCUCCAGGCAUUGCCUCUGUGGCGCUGUGUCCCCUCCUUUGAACUCUGAUCCUUCUGCUCAGGCCCUUUCUCCCAGUCUGAAGUAAGGAGUGAAAAAAUGUGAAUUGUUCUACUCAUCUGGAAAAGAGAACCCUGAGGCAGGAACAAGUCGUUAAUUGCAUGUGCGUUUGUCCACAGCUCACCAUGAGUCAGGCCCUGUGCUAGGUGCUGGGAUGAAGCAGUGACUGACACAGGCCUGGACCUGUCCUUGGGAAGAGUGCGUCUGUGACACAGAUACUGUGCCAUGUGGCAAAACUUGAAUGGAGACAUCAGCUCUUUGUGGGUCUCAAGUCUACUGGCUUUCAAUCAGCUCUUCUGCUUGACAGCUGCAGGUCUUGGGACUGCCCAGCCCCCAUAACCCUGUGAGUGCAUUCCUGAUAAUAACCCUCUUUCUCUUGUCCUCCCCCACCCCACAUCAUUGGUUCUGUUUCUCUGGAGAACCAUAAUACAUCAUUUACUAAUCAGGAAAUAGAUUCAGAGACAUUAAUAACUCAUCCAACCUCACAGUUAACUGUAGAGUUGGGCUUGAAAUUCCAAGGUCGAUUUUCUUAGCCAAUACACCAUGCUACAUAUAUGUAUGUAAAAAUAAAAACGCUUGUGAACUGAAAAGGGUCCAAACUUAAGCUCAUUUUGGUCCUUAAUUGCUAAUCCAUAGGCAUGUUUUGGUCCUUAAUUGCUAAUCCAUAAGCAUGUUUCGGUCCUUAUUUGCUAAUCCAUAGGCCUGCACACCUGCCCCCAAGGCCAUGG